AUACGUAGGGGGCGAGCGUUGUCCGGAAUGAUUGGGCGUAAAGGGCGCGUAGGCGGCCCGGUAAGUCUGGAGUGAAAGUCCUGUUUUUAAGAUGGGAAUUGCUUUGGAUACUGUCGGGCUUGAGUGCAGGAGAGGUAAGUGGAAUUCCCAGUGUAGCGGUGAAAUGCGUAGAGAUUGGGAGGAACACCAGUGGCGAAGGCGACUUACUGGACUGUAACUGACGCUGAGGCGCGAAAGUGUGGGGAGCAAACAGGAUUAGAUGCCCUGGUAGUCCACACUGUAAACGAUGAAUGCUAGGUGUAGGGGGUAUCGACCCCUUCUGUGCCGCAGUCAACACAAUAAGCAUUCCGCCUGGGGAGUACGGCCGCAAGGUUGAAACUCAAAUGAAUUGUCGGGG
rnacentral:rRNA from 1 species